rnacentral:rRNA from 1 species
GGAAGUAAAAGUCGUAACAAGGUCUCCGUUGGUGAACCAGCGGAGGGAUCAUUACCGAGUUUACAACUCCCAAACCCCUGUGAACAUACCAAUUGUUGCCUCGGCGGAUCAGCCCGCUCCCGGUAAAACGGGACGGCCCGCCAGAGGACCCCUAAACUCUGUUUCUAUAUGUAACUUCUGAGUAAAACCAUAAAUAAAUCAAAACUUUCAACAACGGAUCUCUUGGUUCUGGCAUCGAUGAAGAACGCAGCAAAAUGCGAUAAGUAAUGUGAAUUGCAGAAUUCAGUGAAUCAUCGAAUCUUUGAACGCACAUUGCGCCCGCCAGUAUUCUGGCGGGCAUGCCUGUUCGAGCGUCAUUUCAACCCUCAAGCCCAGCUUGGUGUUGGGACUCGCGAGUCAAAUCGCGUUCCCCAAAUUGAUUGGCGGUCACGUCGAGCUUCCAUAGCGUAGUAGUAAAACCCUCGUUACUGGUAAUCGUCGCGGCCACGCCGUUAAACCCCAACUUCUGAAUGUUGACCUCGGAUCAGGGUAGGAAUACCCGCUGAACUUAAGCAUAUCAAUAAGCGGAGGAAAAGAAACCAGCAGGGAUUGCCCUAGUAACGGCGAGUGAAGCGGCAACAGCUCAAAUUUGAAAUCUGGCUCUCGGGCCCGAGUUGUAAUUUGUAGAGGAUACUUUUGAUGCGGUGCCUUCCGAGUUCCCUGGAACGGGACGCCAUAGAGGGUGAGAGCCCCGUCUGGUUGGAUGCCAAAUCUCUGUAAAGUUCCUUCGACGAGUCGAGUAGUUUGGGAAUGCUGCUCUAAAUGGGAGGUAUAUGUCUUCUAAAGCUAAAUACCGGCCAGAGACCGAUAGCGCACAAGUAGAGUGAUCGAAAGAUGAAAAGCACUUUGAAAAGAGAGUUAAAAAGUACGUGAAAUUGUUGAAAGGGAAGCGUUUAUGACCAGACUUGGGCUUGGUUAAUCACCUGGGGUUCUCCCCAGUGCACUUUUCCAGUCCAGGCCAGCAUCAGUUUUCGCCGGGGGAUAAAGACUUCGGGAAUGUGGCUCUCUUCGGGGAGUGUUAUAGCCCGUUGUGUAAUACCCUGGCGGGGACUGAGGUUCGCGCAUCUGCAAGGAUGCUGGCGUAAUGGUCAUCAACGACCCGUCUUGAAACACGGACC